rnacentral:rRNA from 1 species
CGGAGAGCCGCGGGACUGAGUGGCGGACGGGUGAGUAACGCGUGGGCAACCUGCCCCGUACAGGGGGAUAACAGCCGGAAACGGCUGCUAAUACCGCAUAAGCGCACAGCGCCGCAUGGCGCGGUGUGAAAAGCUCCGGCGGUACGGGAGGGGCCCGCGUCUGAUUAGGCAGUUGGCGGGGCAGCGGCCCACCAAACCGACGAUCAGUAGCCGGCCUGAGAGGGCGGCCGGCCACAUUGGGACUGAGACACGGCCCAAACUCCUGCGGGAGGCAGCAGUGGGGAAUUUUCGUCAAUGGGCGCAAGCCUGAACGAGCAAUGCCGCGUGAACGAGGAAGGUCUUCGGAUCGUAAAGUUCUGUUGAAGGGGAAAAAGAGCGGAGAGAGGAAAUGGUCUCCGAUUGAUAUUACCCUUCGAGGAAGUCACGGCUAACUACGUGCCAGCAGCCGCGGUAAUACGUAGGUGGCGAGCGUUAUCCGGAAUGAUUGGGCGUAAAGGGUGCGUAGGCGGCCUGCUAAGUCUGGAGUGAAAGGUACCGGCUCAACCGGUACAGGCUCUGGAAACUGGCGGGCUAGAGAGCAGGAGAGGGCGGUGGAACUCCAUGUGUAGCGGUAAAAUGCGUAGAUAUAUGGAAGAACACCAGUGGCGAAGGCGGCCGCCUGGCCUGUUACUGACGCUGAGGCACGAAAGCGUGGGGAGCAAAUAGGAUUAGAUACCCUAGUAGUCCACGCCGUAAACGAUGAGGACCAAGUGUUGGGGAAGACCCAGUGCUGCAGUUAACGCAGUGAGUCCUCCGCCUGGGGAGUAUGCACGCAAGUGUGAAACUCAAAGGAAUUGACGGGGGCCCGCACAAGCGGUGGAGUAUGUGGUUUAAUUUGAAGCAACGCGAAGAACCUUACCAGGCCUUGACAUAGGGUGCGAAGCUAUGGAGACAUAGUGGAGGUAAACAUCCAUACAGGUGGUGCAUGGUUGUCGUCAGCUCGUGUCGUGAGAUGUUCAGUUAAGUCUGGCAACGAGCGCAACCCUCGUGAUGUGUUACCAAUAUCGAGUUAGGGACUCACAUCAGACUGCCGGUGAGAAACCGGAGGAAGGCGGGGAUGACGUCAAAUCAUCAUGCCCCUUAUGGCCUGGGCUACACACGUACUACAAUGGCGGCGACAGAGGGCAGCGAGCCUGCGAAGGCAAGCGAAUCCCAAAAAAGCCGUCCCAGUUCGGAUUGGAGUCUGCAACCCGACUCCAUGAAGUUGGAAUCGCUAGUAAUCGCGGAUCAGCAUGCCGCGGUGAAUACGUUCUCGGGCCUUGCACUCACCGCCCGUCAA